rnacentral:rRNA from 1 species
UGAGGAAUAUUGGACAAUGGAGGCAACUCUGAUCCAGCCAUGCCGCGUGAGUGAAGACGGCCUUAGGGUUGUAAAGCUCUUUCAAUUGCGAAGAUAAUGACGGUAACAAUAGAAGAAGCUCCGGCUAAAUUCGUGCCAGCAGCCGCGGUAAUACGAAUGGAGCAAGCGUUGUUCGGAAUCACUGGGCUUAAAGCGUAUGUAGGCGGAAUGGAAAGUCAGGAGUGAAAUCCCAGAGCUCAACUCUGGAACUGCUCUUGAAACUUCCAUUCUAGAAUCCUGGAGAGGUUAGGAGAAUUCCGAGUGUAGAGGUGAAAUUCGCAGAUAUUCGGAGGAAUACCAGUGGCGUAGGCGCCUAACUGGACAGGUAUUGACGCUCAGAUACGAAAGCGUGGGGAGCAAACAGGAUUAGAUACCCGCGUAGUCC